AGAUGUGGCCUCAAAGUCCGCAGGGUUCUUAGUGUGGGCUUUCAGAGCCCUGCCUACAGGUUUGUCUUUCCUUCAUGUUCCCCAGUGGGCAGAACCUCUGGUGUCUUCAGCCUCCUGUCUGCCUCAGGCUUCGCAAGAAGCUUUUUAUACAAAACACUUACCAAACAUCUGCCAGAUGUCAGACCCUGUGCCAGGCACUUGAAACUGUGGAAACUAGAGUGGAGUCCCCGCCUGGUGGAGCUGACAUUUGAAAGGGGCAAGGCAUCAGAUAAUGACAAUGUCGAUAAAAGCGGUACGGGCUACGGAGAAUGUUCCCUGGGAGCAGAGCCUGAGGCAAGGAUUUGGAUCCAUGUGACUUACAGAGAGGAGGGCACUCGGGAGAAACCUACUCGAGAGUCGGGGAGGCAGAAUGGAGAAGAGGGGAAAAGCUAAUAAACAAGGGCGGGGACCUCAGCUGGCGUCUGGCUUCCGCCUGGUCCUUCCGGGAUCUCCGACAGCUCCCCCAGUACAGACUCCGAAUCCUUCUGAGACCGUGAAGCCCUUGUUUGCAGGUAUUUGGAAAUUGUAAAGAGAAAGCAGAAUCGCCUUCAUUAAAAAUUCCACGUGGAAGCCAGUUGGGUGUAGAAGAUGCACACAUCCGAUGGACUGAACAUCUUUAUCUCGGUUGCUGCCUACCCUAAAUUAAAAGCACCUGAGG